CUACUGCCUGGGAAAGGUGGAAGGAGGAGAGGGAAUCUCUGGCGGGGGAGAGAGAGGCAGCAAACUGCUUUUGUCUCUUGCAAACCUCCCAGCCAAGGCGAGGGAGAAUCCUGCGGAUGUCCAGGGGACCCCCCUCGCUUUCACUGCCCCCCUUUCUCCUGUACUAGGCAGGAGGGGGGAGAGAGACAGCACCAGCCAGCAGGUUCAAUACAGUCUUUGGCAGUGGUGGUGGGCUUUAAGAACCCUCCUGCACCAGGAAAAAGCACGAGGAGCCAUCAAGAUUUCCUCCUGAUUCUUCCUUUCUCCCCCUCUUUCCCUUCUCUUCUUCCUCCCGUCCCCUUCCUUUUUUAUUUAUUAUUUUUCAAGAAAAAUACAUUUUGCUUUUAGGAUUUCCCUCCUCUCUUCAACCCCCUCUUCGUUUACCCACAAAAGAAAGGUGGGGGGAAAAGAAGGCGCUCUCAUCGCUCUGUCCACAUAUCUCCAUCCACUGCCUGCAUUUCCUGGAAGUCCAGUCGGAUUGUCCACACGAGGUCUCUUGGGGGGAUUUUACAACCAAACUGGGAUCUAUGAGCGGGAAGGUGAUCAAGUCAAAGGAAGAGAAAGAUGCAUCUAAAGGUAAGGGGCCCGGCCAGGUGUGUGCGUGUGUGCGUGUGUCUCUCUCUGUGUUUUGCCAACCCCUUCUCCUCCUCUUCCUCCUGCAUUCUCCACAGCCCCCCACCCCGCGCAACACUCCUUUGUCUAUACACCCCCCUCCUCUCCAGAAUUUCCUUUGUCUCUCUUUCUGCCUUUCCCUUUCCGUACUGAGCUCUGGGAAGAAAGAACGGGAGGGGGAGAAUAAAUGGGGACAACGGAAGCCUCUUUCCUAUCUCCCCCAGUUCACCUGCUUUAAGGCAUUAUUUUAUUUUAUUUUGCCUGGGUGGGUGGGGGCUGGCUUCCCAAGGUGUUUGGGUUUGACAGGUCCUCUUCUACCUCCCUCUUUCCAGCAUUGUGAAGGGCGGGAAAACCACAUUUGGGGGUGGAGGUAGACCUUUUCUAUUGCUGCAGUGUCUUCCUUGGCGCUGACAGUUGGGGUGCCUUCCUUUGUGUGCAAGCGCCGCGGGGAGAGGCAGCAUGUGCCUCGCCGGCUCCCGUGUUCUGCAACAGAUCUGGAGGUACCAGGAAGUGUGGGAAUAUCAACCCCGCAUAGUACAUCCUCCUUUAUUUCUUUGUAAUUAUCAUCUUAGUAGUAGCAAUUGGGGCUGGGGCUGUAGCCUGAUAUAUGUGGGGCGUGUGGUGUGUGUGUGUUUGCGCGUAUGCGCGCAAGGGAAACGUGCCAUUCCCCCCUCCUCCUGGGGUGGGUAGUAGCAGCGAACAUAGCCGGCGAUGCUCACUCAUGCGGUGCUUGGCAAAAGUCAGAAGUCUUCACACGCGUCUCUCUCGCCUUGUUACUUCCUCCCUGCCAAAUAACCCUGCAACAUUCCCAGGGAUCUUCAGAGGUGCCACAGAUGGAGGAGAGACAUGGGGUACCACGACCCCUAGUGUCCUUUCUGGCACCGCCGCCCCUCCCCCCGGCAACUCUAUGCAAAAGAGGGCCGUUUAACUACCUGGUGUUGGAGCCUAUCUACUAGCGCAUCCGUCCGUGUGGGUUAUUCCAGCCCACAUUGGAGAGGAAACAAUAGGAUAUUAUGGUCAUAGCCCCUUUCAGGCCAGGUGGCCUGAGCGUUUAGAUACAGCUCUUGCAAAGAAGCGGGGGACAGGGGUGGAAGGCUGGUGGUGCGGUUUGGUGGGGGGCUUCUUGCAAAUUGUCCACCGAAGGUUGCAUGUGUCCGAAAGAGGACAUGUGAUGCUUUGCAUCUUAUCUUCCCUCUCUCAGCCACUCCCCAAACCCACACUGACUUUCAAGCUUUUCCCCAUGCAAGGGACUGGAUUGCUUUUCUUCUUCUUUUGAAUGCAUAACAAUUGCCAUGGAGACAAAAUAGAGUUGGGGCGGGGACAGGAAUGGAGAUGAGGACUGUAAGAGGUUAGCGCCAGCGGAUUACUCUCAUAGACAGCCCCACUAGCACGGAAGGUAGACCAAAGCUCUUCGUGGGCUGGGCCUGGGAGAGAGCAGGGGAAAUCGGAAUGAGGAGUGCGCGCGCGCGCGCGUAUUACCUCUGUGUGUAUGUGUGUGUUGUGGGGAAGAGUAGCGAGCGAUGCUUCCCAAACAAUCCGUUCCACGCGCACGAGGUUGGUGCAAAGGUGUCCAUUGCCAUCUCACUUGCUAUAUUUAACCUUACUAAAUUUAACAUGCACACAGACACACACGUUUGGUGCACCAGCCUCUAAUCCCUCCUAUUAUACAGCGCGCGCUCACGGGCACGCGCGAGCUCACGGAGCUUUUUAAAUUUUAGUUCUUGAAAUGAAACAUCUCCAGGCUGGGGAUUUUUAUUAUGAUUUUAUCCGGGUGUGCUACUGAUUCUGCAGCAGUUUGUACGUGCAUGACCCUGCACCCGAGUGACCAGGAGCCAGUGGUUCACACGCACAUACUUCGAAAAAUAAACAAAUUAGGGCCUAAUGAAAAUCGUUCGCAUCUCAGGCUACACAGCAUGGUUAUGCCAAAAACCCUUUGUGGGUUGGUGGUGGCUAAACUGUUGUAUUCCCACUAGCCUCUGCCUGAACUCAAGAUCUGCUUCCAUUCCCCACUCCUCAUUUAGUCUAAGUGGUUUGCGGACAGACUGGUGUUGAGCAAUAUAGGCGACAUCUAUUUUUGGGGAGGAGGGGCAUUAUAAAGUUACCGUUUGGCCAGGUGUCGUUUUUCAGUGAAGAUGAAUACAGAGAUGAGUGUGCGUGUUAAAUCAACAUACAACCUUAUUGUUACAAUGAGUGGGGACUCUACUCCUACGUUCCCGAAACAGCUUGAACAAGUUGUCUUGCGGGACGAGGGUGUUGAUUUUAGAUGCAUCCUCCCUUUGUAACCUUUCUAGUUCCAACUGUACAAUUUGACACCCCCCCCCGUUAAUUCAGUAUCAAUGUAUGCCGUACUUUUGAUAUCUGUUUCUAGCUCCUUUUGCUCUGGAGAGCCGAGUAUGUGCAUGGUGGGGCUGAUUUAUCUAACUGUCCGCGUGAUGUUUUCUGGCCAGCCUUUACCCCCCCCCCAAUUUGUCUGGUAUUCUUUUUAUCUUCUUCCUUGUAUCAGUUGUUAGAAUGAUUCUUCCCGGAGUUUUCACGGGUGAAACACUGCCCUUCUAGGUUCCUCCCGCCCACUGUUCGUCAUACACAAAGUAAAGUCAUUGAAAUCUAUGGACGUGAUUAACUCCGUUAAUUUUAAUUUGUCUGCUCUGAGUAGAACUCAGCUGAAGUCAGCCCUGUGUUGACCAGACUUUUCAGACCUGAUUUGCUAUUAUUAUUAUUAUUAUUAUUAUUAUUAUUAUUAUUAUUUCUUGCUGUUUAACAUUCAUUGCACGGACCCAGUCAUGGCUGUUUUUGGAAGCAAUGCAUGUAGUUGGGGACUUGCUAGGGGGCUGGGUUGUUAAUUAUUCCUUCUUGCCUUUUUCAAGAAUUUUGGUUCCACUGUAGACCCACAUAAACUCUCCCUCCCCUGUAUAUUAUUUCCUGUGCUGGGCAGACCGGUUUGCUGCAUGACAUAAUCACCAUUAUGAACGUUAUUCAGUGUCCUUAAAUAUAAAUUUCUUAACAUUUCAGCACAUGCUCCUUAAUAAACCCAGUCCUGUGGUCCUUAAAGCGUGGACUGCAACAUGCUGUGCACCUAAUGCACCGAAUCAUUCCAAAGGGUUGACUGCACAUAGUAUGACAAUUUCCAGACAGACUCCAUCAAAACAAAGUCAAACAGUAUGAAAAGUUAGUAGGAAUGCUUCAGCAAAUACAACAGUGCAUCACUUCUCCAGACGUCACCACCAUCUGCUGGACGUCUGGCAGCUGCAUGUCUGAAAAUGAUUUCGCACAGAAAAGUGUUGCAUUUGAAGUGAUGUGUGGUUAUGUCUGUGGUGUUAUAUAUUUAUAGUGGCCUAUUCACACAUUCGGCCAGUCAUGGCUUGAUGUCAGUGUUGGAUGGAGCUUUACUAGGCUCGACUUAGAAGUGCCUUCCUUAAGAUGAACUAACUCAGGACAGGCAUAUUCUGAGCUCCGAAUCUCAUCUCUCUCCCUCUCCUGACGGGUUCAUAGGAAAUGGCAAUGACAUCUUGAGGCAUUACCUUGGAAGAGUUAGUGUGCUGUGGUGUGAUUAGAGUGCCAGACCGGGACGUGGGAGACCAGGGUUCGAAUCCAUACUUGGCUAUGAAGCUCACUGGGUGGGUUUAGGUCAGUCACUGUCUCUCAGCCUGACAGGGGUGUUGUGAGGAGAAGGAGAUGAGGAAUACCAUGUGUGCCCCUUGAGCUGCUUGGAGGGAAAAGUGGGAUAUAAAUGCAAUAAAAAAUAGAUAACAAACAAGCAAGUAAAGCUGCUCUCCAUAUAGGCAUGACCAUGAUGGAUGGGGGGCCUCUUUAUCCCAACCCUUCAUGCCUCCCCCAAUUUGUUUGCCCCAAAAUUAUCUUUCCUUAUUGACUAGCAAUGAGUAGAGUGGUGGCUGAGGUUUCCAUUACCGCAAGAGGAUUCCCUAGACCCAUGGGAAAUGAAAUUAAGGUCCCAGGAGCCCUAGGAAACUGUGUUUCCCAGGGGACCUGGCCCUUGUAAUGCUACCGUGACCUAAUGAAGGCCCCAGAAGCAGCCCUUCUCCUCACUGCCACUUCAUCCUGGUAAGUUUCAGUGGGAAAGGUAAUGGUAGUGCCCAGGGCAAAAGUAAUUAAUGAGUUAAGGAUCAAAGUUCUGUAGGAGAGCAUCUGCUUGGCAUGCAGAAUGUCCCAGGAUCAGUUCCUCACCAUCUCCAGGCAGGGUUGAAACUUUGGAGUGUUGACAAUGCUGAGCUAGUUGGACCAGCCAUCUGAUUUGGCAUCAUGUUUUUAUUCAUUUAGUUCACAACAUUUCUAUACUGAUCAGUUGCAAUAAUACUUUGAAGCAGUAUAAGGCUUGUUACUAGCUGAACCCAAACUUUGCAGAUUCGUAAGAUGUAUUCAGUCAUCCUCUCCACUGCUCCAUCCCCAUAUUAGUAUGACAUAAGAAGGAGAGCAGGAGAUGAACCCACUGGCCUCAUCCCCUCCCUGUAGUUCCUGCAGCCCCCACCCACAUCUGGAGGCUGAACUUCUGCUGCAGGAAGCCUCACAUUCUAUUUAUUCACUGAAAGCAUUUUAAAAAUGUCUUCAAUCUGAAACAGAAAUGAGGAACAUCUGUGGACAUCUGAAUGUUGAUGGGACUCCAACUUCCAUCAACCUCAGGCAGCAUGGCCAAUGUUCAGGGUGAUGGCAUGGAGUCCACCCACAUCUGGAGGGCCAGAGGUUAGGCAUCCUUGAUCUACAAUGGAUAAUAGGCUGGCAUGCAGGAGACACAAAAGAAACUCAUCUUUCCCAACCUAUUUCCCAGCUACUAUUCCCAGAGUGGUUUAACAGCCAGUCUCUCUUCACAGGGAAUUGUAGCUCUCUGAGGGGAAUGAGGGUCUCUUAGCAAUCAUCAGUGCCUUACAACUCCCAAACUUCUUUGGGGGAACCCAUGAUUGUUUGAAGUGGUACCAUAGUGCUUUAAAAGUAUGGUGUGAAUGUGGCCUCAGCCUCUCAUUUUCCGAAUCCUUGCUUCAGUUCUUCACAUUUCCGCAGCAAAACCCCUCAUGAAAAUUCACCAACAUUUUCAUGUGGAUUUAUCCUAAUAUGAACAAUUUUUAAAAUGUAGUUUAGAUUAAUAUGCACAUUUUUUUGCAGACAAUUGUCCCUAAUAUAAUGCAUUUUGUAUGUUUUCACCAAUGUAUAUGUCUGUAUGCACUCUUUCCCCUGGAAUGCACAUUUUUGUUCUUGUUGGUUGUUCAGAGAAGUGUGAAUUUAGAGGGAUAAUUGGGUUUCAGUUUGCUGAUUUGUUCAGGUAGUUUCUCACUAAAGCGCAAAUCCCCAUUGCUUAUUUCAGAGUCCUGUGCUUCUGAACUUAUGAGUAAGCCUCUAUUGAACUCAUUGGGACUUACUUCUAAAGAUUCCUAGAAUCAUCAAAUUGUAGAGUUGGAAGGGACCUGGAGGGUCAUCUAGUCCAACCCUUUGUAAUGCAGGAAUCCCAGCUGAAACAUCCGUGACAGGUGGCCAUGCAAUCUCUGCUUUAAAAGCUCUAAGGAAGGAGAGUCCACCACCUUCAGAGGGAGUCUGUUCCACUGUUGAACAACUCUUACUGUCAGAAAGUUCUUCCAGAUGUUUGUUGGAAUCUUUUUUCUUGAAUCCAUUGGUACACAUCCUACCUUCCAGAGUAGGAGAAAACAUGAAUUCUCAUGUAACAGAGGCACAUUGUUAAUGCCUCCAUCAUCACUUUACCUGCCUCUGGAAAUAGUUGAGACUCACUCUUGCAGUAUCAUGCAAGUAUCUUGCAGUAUCAUACCAACAUAUGGCUCUCAACCACUAGCAACAUUUUAAAAAAAUAUCCCACAUUUUCUCCGCAAAACUCAAGGUGAUGUGCAUGAUUCUCUCGCUUCUCAUUUAAAUCCCACAAUUGCCCUGUGAAGUGGGUUCGGCUGAGAAGCAGUGAUUGGUCCAAAGUCACCCAGUGAGCUUCAUGGGUGAGAAGGGAUUGAGUAUUAGAGAUAGUGGCAAAAUAGCGACCACUGAAUGUCCCCUUGCUCAUUCAGAGCCCUGUUCGGCAAGAAGCAAUAUGAGAAGGCAAAUCCUCCCAAGACAUCAUGCUUUGAAAGGAUUUCAAAAGUGGUAAAGAAUUGCUUCCUCAUUUCUCCAGUGCUAACAUUAUUCUUUGCUUCUCUCUAGGGGCGUUUGAGUUCUGAGAUUCUCAUUCUGGCCACGUGAAGCAGUCUGCCCUUGUGCCCAUUUUCAGCCACGUGGUAUAAAUUCAGUUGGCUUCGCCCUACAGCUGGGCAUGCUGUGUGGCACCAGCAUUAAACUCUUAUUUCAAAAAUCAUGAGCAACACUCCCAAACUGGGAUGCAUUAAGCAGAGCAACUCGUUCCCCAAAACCUGUGGGGAUUUGGGUUCAGGUUUCUUGGGUAUACUGCACAUCAUGCCAAACUGCAUUUGAAACUGAGGGAACUUCCAAAAGCAUUUUUUGGAUGUGCCAUGGAAUGAGGACAGCCCGCUUUUUUGAAGAAAAGUUUUCCAAUACCCCUGUACAAAUGCCCAUUCUAAAUUUGCUCUUUGGCACCCAGCCUUUUGAGUUCUAAUGAAGAAAAGUACUAUGUCCCUCCCUGUUAGUGAAAUUUGCUGUCUUCUCCUGAGGGAUUGCUCACUCAGUAGAGUAUGAGACUAUUGAUCUCAGGGUUGUGGGUGCGAGCCUUACAUUGAGCAAAAAAUUCCUGCAUUGCAGGGGGUUGGACUAGAUGACCCUCGUGGUCCCUUCCAACUCUACAGUUCUAUGAUUCUAUGAACCUUGCCCCACCCUCCCAUGACAGGAGAGAUAGUCAUAUGCUUUGUUGGAUUUUAACGGGAACCCAACUUGCCCUUCCCAGACCAAAAGAAGAAGAGAAAAGCAGCUCUCUUUUGAAAUUCACACCUCUAAUUUUUGCACGGCAGUUCUCCAGCCGAAGAAUGCACAUCAAAAUGCAGAGGUCACAGUAGCGUUCAUUGGAACUGUUCGUACCCUAAAUAGGCAAAGCAGGACCCUCCUGGUGGCUCAGCAAUAAAACUGCUAGUACAUUUGCCAAGCUAAGCAGGGACAAGUAUGGUUUCAAUUUGGACGGUGGGACCAUGUGUUGAGAUUCCUGCAUUGCAGGGGGUUGGACUUAAUGGCCUCGGGGUCUCUUCCAUUGCUACAGUUCUAUGAUUUGGGGGUAGUUUUUCAUGGUACUAAGUUCUGCUUCAGCUGAAAGCUUUUCAAAGUUACACAGACCAUUUAGGAUAUCUUAAUAUCUGCUGGUUGCACUGCUAGACCUGACAUAAUCAGCAUUUGUACAACCUCAUUAUACAGCCUCAUUUGGUAAAGCAAAGAGACAGAAGUUAAUUUUUUUGUCUAGCCUGUAUGGCUAAGGGGAUCCAACAGCAUAUUAGCUUCAGUACAGAGAGCUCCAGGAAGACGUGGCAGAUAUUUUAAAGAGCAUUGCAACUGAGGCUGUGUUCUUUGAACUUCAAACAUCACAGGCAGGCUUAGAGCAAGGAGAUAAACCCACAUUAUCAAUUUAUGGGAUGAACAUACCCUUCAAAGGGGCAGGCAGCCUCACAACCAUUUCAAUCAGGUUCUCUCCUCUGCCUCAACCCUCUCCCCCCCCCCCCGGCCAACAAUAUUUUCAUGGCAAUGGGCAGGUGUCAUUUAUUUGUGUAUGUAUUUGAGCAAGCUCUAUUUUGCUUUGUGUCAAAAGACUUCGGGGUGGACAAGGUUUAAAAUGUAAAAAUCAAAGCAGAAAAUCAAAGCAAGGUGUCAAUCAUUCUGAAUAUUUUGACACCAUAGGUCAAAGAUUGUGAUAGCCAUAAGCCUGACAGAGGAGGAAUAUCUUCAGCUGGCCCCCCAAAAUAGCUUGUGUUGGUGCCAGCUGAACUUUGGGGUAUAGGGCAGACUGUUUCAAAUCUGAGAAGGCCCUGCCUGUAAGUCCUGUAAGUCUUGUAAGUUCUAAAGCUAUGUGUGCCUUGCAGAAAGUUAGCUCUACUAACAGAGUCUCCUUAGCUAACCAUGGAACCCAGGAAGGGCUGUAUGAGGUGCGAUGUUGUUUGGGUAGAUGGAUCCUAAGCCAUGGAGGGCUUUAUCAAUCAAAACUAAAGAUUUGGAAUUGGGGCUGUUGACAAGAUGGCAAAUGGUGAAAUACCACAAUUCUAUGAUCCUGCGCCAUCAGGUCCAUGAAGACAUGCUCACUGUAUUUUGCAGCAGCUGCAGCCUUCAGGCCAUAUUCAAGGGCAGCUCCACAUAGAGUGAAUUACAGUAGUCCAAACAGGAAGUUUAGCUAUGGCUAGGCUAGCCUUGCCCCAGCUGGACCAGCUGGAGCUAGGAACAGGAACUCUGUGCCACUGAGGUAACUUAGGCCUCCAGCAACAAAUUAGAAUCUCAUGCCCUCCAACAUUUCUCCAAUGAAAAUAGGAACAUCCCAUUCCAUAAUGAUAAUUUUACUAUUUAUACCCCACACAUCUUACUGGGUUGUCGCAGCCACUUCUCCAGAAGAGGGCACCUUCAUAAUUUCCACCCCUGGGGGUUGGCCAUCCAUGAUGCCCCCAUUUUGUCAGGCUUCAACAAGACCGGUUUAAGAAAGGCAGCUUGAGCCAUUGCUGAAGACCAUUGUGAACAGAAGUACAUCUUAUGUAGCAAAUGCAAGUGCACCCAUUUGUGUCCUAAGAAAAGCAAGGUAUUAUGACCUGGUGUAAAUUCUGCAAAUCGGGCAAGGUUGCUUUGUGUGUUUUGUGAAAGCAUGGUGACUGGCAAGGCUAGUAUGGAGGCAGGAGAGAAUGUGCAGGUGGGCUUACAGCAAGUGCUUGAUUUUGGCUAUCUUUAACCCAUAUUUUUUGCACCUGGGCUCUGACUUGAGAGCCAAUUCUGGCUUGGGGAGAGAUGGACUUGGUAGGAUGCUGAAAGGGGAGAACUGGCAGGUGUGGAUAGAGUUAAGAAGUAAUGCUAGAACUGAGAUCAGUCCAAUGAAACUGAGUGUUGGAUGAUUCAGGACAAAGAAAGUACUUCACAAAGCAGCAUAGUUAAACUACCUCCCGCAAGACAUAGUGAAGUCCACCAACUUGGAUGGCUUUAAAAGAAGUUUAGAUAAAUUCAUGGAUUUUUAAGGCUCUCAGGCUACCAUCCAUGAUAGGCUGUAUCAUUACAUCCACACUCAACACCCUGUUCUACUGUGACCAUCCAAAUGCUCUUGGGAAGCAGGACCUGAACACAACAGCGCUUUCCCCAUCUGCAAUUCCCAGCAGCUGUUACUUCCCUGGGGUCAAGAAGAAAUCACAGUCCAAAUGUUUUGUGCAUAUAAACUCUUCAGAUCUGGUUUUCAUCUCCUCCCUUCUUCACUUUUUAUUUCAUUUCAUUUGUGCCCAGCCUUUCCUUACAAAUCUAUAAGGCAGGCAACCACAGUAAAACCCACAAUGAAAACUGUGACAUAGCAAGCACUAUAAAAAACCAUAACAUGGGGGAGAAUCAAACAGGAAUAUAUAAAAAUAGCAGCCAGAAAAUGUAUCAUUGAAAGAUACAGGUUGAAGCACAGAGUAGCAGAGAAAGCCAAGCAGCUUUGCAGGCCAUGCGCUUGUUUUUGAAGGUAAGGUUUUCUUGCCUGCUGGUGGAAGGCCAUCAGCGAAGCAGCCCCUUUGGUAUUUAACAGAACACAGCCCCUAAGAGGGCCCUGUCUCAAGUUUCUGACAAAUGCACAUCAGAUGCUGUGACAAGAAAGAGCCAGCAGGAAAUCAUACCAAGCGAGUGGAGUUAACUCUUUAUUAGCAAAAGGAUCUGCGCAGGAGUGUCAGGCCUAAUAAGCACAGCAGCUCAUUCCUGGUAGGUCUUGCCCCAUGAAUCAGUUGCCCAUAGCUGCCUAAGUCUCUUCUUCUUCAGGUAUUUCCCCAAGCAGCCUGAGACUGCACCUGCAUGAAACUAACUACUCCUCUGCCCACUUCAUACCUCUUCUGGUCCUAGAAGACCAGUGGUGAGGGGAGCUUGCAUCAGGAGGGGGAGACAACCUGGCUUCUUCACUGACCUGACUCAUCCCUGCCUCUUGGCCUCCUUUCUCCCACUUUCCAGCUUUGGAUUCUGCCCCUGAUUCUGAACAGGGGUGUCUUACCCAUAGAGGCUAGUGGCACGAGGUGCCGGGGCACCAAGUUCUGGAGGGCGCCAGGGAAGAGGUGGAGGCUGGACACGGCACCUCCCGGUAUCAGGUUGCUGCUCUCUCCCACCUCCACCAUGCCAUGCCAAAGCAGUGUGGAGCCUCUGUCUGCCGUGGCCACCGCGGCACAAAGCGGCCAGCUGAGCUGGGAAGGGCCGCGUCCAGCCUCUGCCUCUUCCCCACCAGAGGAGCCACCCUCCAGCCACUGCCUGCCUCCUCCAGCCGCGCCGGCAGUGCCGUCCUCCCUAAAAAACUAUGGAAAACCAGAGGGGGGGGGCUCCAUAGGGAGUUUUGCACCACGGUGCUGGAUAUGCUUAAGAUGGCCCUGAUUCUGAACUUCCCUCUGCCACAGACUCUGCUUGUUCACUAAACCGUGCUAUCUCUUCAACUUCUGACACUUCCGCUUCCCAGUCUUCUCCCUUUGAUCACUUACCACCGUCCCACCGCCAAUCCCCAGGCUCCAAGCCUUUUUCCCUUGGGGGUUCCCCAACUAGUUCCUCCCACCAUUCCUCUGCAUCCAGCCAGUCCAUGACAUGCUGACAGAUGAGGAGAAGCGUCAUUCUGGGAAAUCUCAGCACCCAGGAACUGAAGUGCGGGGAAAAGCAUCCAGAAGUUUAGGAAGGAGGAUUUCUGAUGCUCCAGAUGUUUUUUGCUUUACUGCAAGCACAGGCACUAGCGGAGGAAUAGGGGUACGGGGGGAGUGCACUGCCCCCGGCGGCAUGAUCCCAGUGGGGUGCCAUCGCGGCUACCUCCCCGCGCUGGGCGCCACACCCCCACAGGCGGCACGCCACACCCCUGGGACGCAUGCCAGCCAUGCCCCCGCCUGCUCUCCAUGCCUCCCCCACCAGAGCUUGAAGCUUUGCCACUGAGCACAGGGAAAAUUUUCAAGCCCAAGAACCAUGUGCCCUUUGAAGGAAUCUUCUGGGGACCACAAGCCAGUGGUGGACAAAGCCAGAGGCAAAAGUGGAUGGAGUGACAAAUGUGAUGGAGACUAGUUGCUACACCUAGUUCACACAGCCCUCUCUCUCCUCGACACAUGCAAGCAAGAGGAGUUUGAAGACGCAUCUCACUCAGGCAAGGCACACAAGGCGAGCGCAAAGCAUGGAGCAAUGAGGGGCAUGGCCCAGUGAGACGUAGCUGUGGAAGAGAUGAAGUGUGUGGGGAGAGACUGGCAGCCAAUGCGUAACUAGGGUUGCCAGACCCUCUGGCUGCCCUGAAGUCUCCAGGUUUGCCCGCCCCCUCCCCUCAGGUUACAGGCAGAAGGUGGGCGAGAGUGCCUUCUCUACCCAGCCUCCCUGACAGGUUAGAAGGAAUGGUCUCUCACUUCAGCUGGACACCCACUUUAGCUAGGGUUUCUAUCUUAAUUUCCAACCAAUUUACAUUUUUGCUCACUUGCCAGUCUUUGUGGCUUUUAUUUGAAUGACAUGUUCUCAGAGACUGUGACUGAUGCUUAAUGUGCCAUGCUUAAUGAUGUCACUGGGGCCACUCCUUGUGAUACCACUGUAGGCCACCCCUAGGUCUCAGGUUUGGACCCUAAAAUCUCAGGGUCCAGGAUGCUCCUGACCUGGGAAUCGUAUGUGCAAAUACUGUAACACUUCCAAGUGUUCCUACUUUCCAAGGAUGUCCCUGAUUUAGAGAAGCCAUCUCAGUUUCUGAUUUGAUCCCAGAAUGUCCCACUUUUCCUUAAGAUUUGCCUAUUUUCAUUGGAGAAAUGUUGGAUGUGCCUGAAGGCAAUCCUGUAAAGGGAAGGGUUUUUUAAAAAAAACUUUUAGCAUUUUAUAAUGUUUUUAUAUAUCUUGGAAGUUGCCCAGAGUGGCUUGGGCAACCCAGUAAGAUGUGUGGGGUAUAAACAGUAAAAUUAUCGUUAUGGAAUGGGACGUCCCUAUUUUCAUCAGAGAAAUAUUGGAAAGUAUGGUAUAGCAAUUUACAGGAAUAUGGCAGGUUCCAAUUUGUCUCCCACAAUGCACCUGCUAACAGGACAAAUUCUCUCCCCACUCUUCCCUCUGAAUGUCAAUCUUAUUAGUGCAAUAAAAAGCUCAACAUUUGUUCUAGGAAGUAAUACAGUAUUAGCAGAACCAUAACAUGCAAUUUGUCUUUCAGAUCCGUGUUUCAUAUCUCUAGCCAAAAAAGCAACACCUUUAUACUAAACAAGAAGUUCUGCAUCAAUCUUUUCCAAACAAUGCUGUGCUGUCAGCUCCGAACAUCCUGUUCUGUGAAGACUGCUUGUUUUAAAUGUCCAAGCCAGGUGUUUGUGGUGUUUUAAAUAGGCUGUUCAUCAUUAGAACUAGAAACAUUUAAUUCACUGCUGCAAUUAAUUGUAGAGACAAUAUUCCACAGAGGUCCAGUUGAAAAUUCCCUUAGACUCUAAUGGUAUCAUACUAUUCAUGUUUACUCAGAGGUAAGCCCCAUUGAAUCCAGUGGGGCUUUCUUCCAGGUAAACAUGCAUAAAAUUGCAGCCUCAGGGAUCCAGAACAUAUAAGAUGCUGAUGGAAAAUUAAAAAUUAGCUGUGUGUAUAAAACAACCUGUCCUUUCAUGAAGAAAUCGUAUUACUUGUUUCCAAAAUUUCAUUAUGAAGGAACAAGACAAGAAUAUAUUAUUGAAAGAAGCAGAGAAUUAGAAAUUGGCUUCCUCAGCAGUUGUGCUUUGCCAAAUUGUAUACAGUGGUACCUUGGUUUACGAAUUUAAUCCAUUCUGGAAGUCUGUUCUUAAACUGAAACCGUUUUUAAACCGAGGCACGCUUUCCCUAAUGAGGCUUCCCGCCGCUGGUGCCCUUUCACCAUUUGGAUUCUGUUCUUAGACCGAGGUAAAGUUUGCAAACCAGGACACUACUUCCGGUUUUGUGGAGUUCGUAAACCAAAUCGUUCGUAACCAGGGCUGUUCUUAAACCGAGGUACUGCUGUAUUUGUUUUUGUUUAUAUAGCACUAGCAAGGUUUCCUCCAGAUGUUGUUGGAGUACAACUCCCAUCACCCCAGAUCACUGGCCAUGCUGGCUGGGGCUGAUGGGAGAUGUAGUCCAAUAACAUCUGGAGGACAUCACAUUGGCUACACCUGAUUUAGUUAGCCUGUUGGAACUGAAUUUUAUAAAAAUGUUUCGCUCAAAUUAGCAUGAAUCCAAGCCAUUAGUUUCCAUAUCCACUUCUAUUCCUGCCAGAAGAACAUUAAUUCCAAGAUCACAGUUCUCUUCACCUGAUGAGUUUAUCUACAUUCAAAAGAAGUAUUCCAAAAUUACACCUCUUGGCUAGGUCACAUAAUCUUUGCAAAGUACUCUGAAUGCUCUGAAGAGCAAUAUAAAUACUAAUAGUUCUUUGAAUAACAAGCUGUUGAAGAAGAUCUGUAAUUAAGAUAAGAGCAUAGAAGAGUCAUGAGCACAUAAAAAGAGUCCUACUGGAUCAGGCCAGUUGCCCAGCUAGUCUACCAUCCAAUCUCCAGCCAUUGUGGCUAGUAGUGGCCACUAAUAGCUUACCCUCUAUAAAUUUGCCCAAUCCUCAAAAGCCAGCCAAGUUGGAGGCCAUCACUGUCCCACCGGAUCGGACUAAAAACUUGUCUAGUUCAACAUUAUUCUCUUAGCAUCCAUGGAAGAUGCAAAGGGUGAGAUCCAGCAGUGGCUGAUCUGGGCUCUCCAAUUCCAGCCCUGUGCAAUGCUAAAAUUAGGAGCCCUCUUCCUUUGGGUGCCUCCCACCCUUCCUCUGUGUCCAGUCAGUUGGUGACAGAUAGGGCCACAACUCUUUAGACUGGGGAGGGGAAGCUCACGCCCAAGGGUCAAACAUGGUUCUCCAGGCCUCUAUCUCUGGCCCUUGUUCAGGCUACACCCAUUGUCCAACUGCACCCUUCUCUGUGUUUUCACCUGUUCUUGAACUCUGACAAUGACUCUUAAAAAAUUUUUUUAUUAGUUUUUAAACAAAUACAAUAACCAUUAGACAUUUAUCCAGCAGUACAUCUAAUGGUGUUUGUUUUAUCCAUUGUCUCUAGACAUACAGAUUCAACAUCCAAACAUAUUACUUAGCAUAACCUCUUCACUGAGAAUUUUGAGCAGUUGGUAUAACAAGGUCUUGGUUUUGGUCAUUAACAUAGUGAAAGAAUGUCCAUGUUCCCUGGAAGUUGUCUCUAUUCGCUAUGCCUUUAAUUGCUCUGUGUGCCUGGUGAGAUGCUCAGACAUUGCUAUAUCCCAUACCACAUAUGUUCAGGGGUACUUCAGUCUUGUCCUUCCAUUGCUGAGCUAUUGGUAAGCAUACUGCAGCCAGUAAGAAGCCUACUAGAUCACUGUGGUACAGGGCAUAGCCAGGGGGGUUAUAAAUAAAAAUACUUAAUUAACUGACCAAUUGCACCACAGAUAACUUGGUUCUGUCCCCCUUCCCAACAUAAAACCUGCCCCACCUAAAAUAAAUCUUCACUAUGCCCUUGGGGUGGAGCCUAAGUCUAUGUGCAAAAAUAGUAGGGCUAAGGCAGGAUUUGGAGAAAGGGGUUGGCUUGAAAUUGCAGAUAUAAUGGGGAAUACUCUAUUCCAAAAGUUUUUAACAUGGGGGUGUUUCCACCAAACAUGAAUAAAUGAACCAAGCUAAUGACUGUUGCUUUCUCUGAUGGAGGAUAGAGACAGGUGUGUGAGUCUUUGAUGAAAGCAGCCUAUGGUGCAAUGGUAAAGUGUAGACUUGUUGCUCCUCCCACUUUUGCCCCUGCCCCCUCACACCACUGGCAUGUGGCCCUAUAAGGAUGACCUGAAGGAUAUGUGGCCCUCAGACUGAAAAAAGUUUCCCCAACUUUGCUUUAGACAUUUGAAGGCAGCUAGUGAGACUAGCCUUCCUUCCGAGUGGCCUUGCUUCCCUAUUAUAGACAAAUUUCAGUCCACAUGGAAGCGAGCAGUGGAACAUAUAAUAACAACUUUAGGAUUCAAUCCACAGAUCGUAUUCAACUUGGGGCACGAACAAGCAAAAAGCAACAUUAAACAGUGUGUGGUAGAUAUAGAACAACAGAUAGACCUAGCCAGGUCCCCCAAAAUUUGGAAGAUACUUAGAAGAAACUGGAAGAAACUGGAAGAUACUUGACUUCCCAAAUGCCGUACAUAGUUAAUCUUGAAAUACAAAAACAAUGAAGGGCUUUCACUUUGGCCCGUUGUCAGGCCCUCCCUUCAGCAAUUCAGGAAGGCUGUUAUAGGAAGACACCUUACGAGGAGAGGAAAUGCCCAUGUGGCUCUGGGCAGCAGGAAACAAUGGAGCGUGCCCUUCUUCACUGCCAGUAUUAUAUAGACAUUCAAAACUAGGUUUAUCCAACUCAUUUUAUAUACAGUAAGUUUCCUGGGCAUUCAGAACAACACAACAUCUCCCUAUUACUACAGGACAAGAGCCCAGAAGUCACAUAUUCAGUCGCCAAAUUUUGCGCUGCCGUGAUAGAUAUUUGACGAAGAAUGGUCUAUGCUACAAUUCAGUCCUAAGCUGAAGGCCCAUAUUGUUAGAUCUGCACUUCUGAAGCCCACCCCAUAUAGCUGUGUUAACCGAUCUUUUAAUUUUUCUUAUAAAUUUUACUCACCCAUUAUCUAUGUUUGAUUAAGUAUUCUAUGUAUAUGUUUAAAUCUACGUUUGGUUCUUGCUCCUAUUUAUUUAAUAAUUAUUAGAUUCAUACUGUCAUGCUAUUUAUUUAGAUGCUUUGCUUAUGCUGGUCUGUGACCAUAAUAAAGUACUUGAACUUG
rnacentral:lncRNA from 1 species